UGGUCUUAUGGUCUAGUGGUAUGAUUCUCGCUUAGGGUAAACCCCGAGCAUUGCUUGCGAGAGGCCCCGCGUUCGAGUCGCGGUAAGACCC
rnacentral:tRNA from 1 species